rnacentral:rRNA from 1 species
ACAGGGAUUGCCUCAGUAACGGCGAGUGAAGCGGCAACAGCUCAAAUUUGAAAUCUGGCCCUAGGCCCGAGUUGUAAUUUGCAGAGGAUGCUUUUGGCAAGGUGCCUUCCGAGUUCCCUGGAACGGGACGCCAUAGAGGGUGAGAGCCCCGUCUGGUCGGACACCGAGCCUCUGUAAAGCUCCUUCGACGAGUCGAGUAGUUUGGGAAUGCUGCUCAAAAUGGGAGGUAUAUGUCUUCUAAAGCUAAAUACCGGCCAGAGACCGAUAGCGCACAAGUAGAGUGAUCGAAAGAUGAAAAGCACUUUGAAAAGAGAGUUAAAUAGCACGUGAAAUUGUUGAAAGGGAAGCGUUUAUGACCAGACUUGGCCCGGUUGAUCAUCCAGCGUUCUCGCUGGUGCACUCUGCCGGUCCAGGCCAGCAUCAGUUCGUCGCGGGGGAUAAAGGUUUCGGGAAUGUGGCUCCUCCGGGAGUGUUAUAGCCCGUUGCGUAAUACCCUGCGGUGGACUGAGGUCCGCGCUCUGCAAGGAUGCUGGCGUAAUGGUCAUCAACGACCCGUCUUGAAACACGGACCAAGGAGUCGUCUUCGUAUGCGAGUGUUCGGGUGUAAAACCCCUACGCGUAAUGAAAGUGAACGCAGGUGAGAGCUUCGGCGCAUCAUCGACCGAUCCUGAUGUUCUCGGAUGGAUUUGAGUAAGAGCAUACGGGGCCGGACCCGAAAGAAGGUGAACUAUGCCUGUAUAGGGUGAAGCCAGAGGAAACUCUGGUGGAGGCUCGCAGCGGUUCUGACGUGCAAAUCGAUCGUCAAAUAUGGGCAUGGGGGCGAAAG